UUGGUCAACUGGUGUCACACGUCAUUUCAGAAAUGUCAUACCCUGCAGCUCCAGUAUAAAAGCCCCGCCCAUCUUUGAUUCUGUAACCGUAGGUCAUUAUCGUGUUAGCUUUAGCAUGGCUAAUAGGUGCUUUGCCUUCGGUUGUCAAAAAAUCUACUGUCUUCUAUAUCUUUUCAGUGGACUUGGAAGUUGGCGUUGAAUCCACCGAACUUCGUCCUGGUGAUGGAUUUGUAAUGAAUGUUUCACUCUGGAUUGUUGGCUUAAAGCGUUAGCCUUUAUUAGCUAUGAUGCUAGCAGCAUUUUACCACUCAGACCACCCCUUCAGUCUGGACCAUGAGUGUCUGCCUCGGGAGAGGGUGGAGAAGAAAAAUCCUUAACCUCUACAGAAAGUUUUUUGGAGAGAUUGGCAUCACUCUGCUUGGUACCACUCUCCAUAUUGAAGAUGAACAGCACGUGUCAAAGUCAAGGCUCAGGGGACGAUCCGGUCCUCCGGAGAGUCCGCCAUGCUGCUGAGGGCCGACGCUCCCGCCGCCGUGCCGAUGAGGUACUCCAGGAUUAAGUUCCAGCCGAUAAAAAAGGCCACGCACUCGCCCACCGUCACAUAGCUGUACGUGUAGGCGGAGCCCGUGGUCUUAGGCACGCGAACACCAAACUCUGCGUAGCAGACUCCUUUGAGGUGGAGAUGGACAGCAGAGAAGAUGGAUCCAGUAUGGAGGCCACAGCGGCGAUAAUGAAGGACACAAUGACACCGGGGCCGGCCAUCUCCUUAGCAACGAGCCCA